CGCGGGGUGGAGGAGCGGUACCUCGAGAGGCUCAUAACCUCUAGACGCUGGUUCGAGUCCAGCCCCCGCAACAA
rnacentral:tRNA from 1 species